rnacentral:misc_RNA from 1 species
UAUCCGUAGGUGAACCUGCGGAAGGAUCAUUACAGUAGUCGCCCGGGUUGCCGCAAGGCCUCCCGGGUAACCUACCACCCUUUGUUUAUUACACUUUGUUGCUUUGGCAGGCCUGCCCUCGGGCUGCGGGCUCCGGCCGGCGAGCGCUUGCCAGAGGACCUAAACUCUGUUUGUCUAUACUGUCUGAGUACUAUAUAAUAGUUAAAACUUUCAACAACGGAUCUCUUGGUUCUG